UGGAAAUGCAAGAUUAUUUGUGCCUGACUCUAGUACGAAGAACUUUGGGAAGACGAAGAACAUUGGGAAGACGAAGAACUUUGGGAAGACGAUUUGGCCUAAAAAGACCUGUAGCAGUUAACAAGCUAUUAGAUGCACAAUAGCGCAAAAUGACCACCACCACUAUCACCAUAAAGUGUGUGCUUGGUGUCUGUCUACACGUGCUUGCUUCUGGAAUGUUGAAGAACAAACUGUGUUGAAACGCCAACUGGAGCUGGUCAUGGACCUUUGCCGCCCUUCAUCCAGAGCCUUCCACAGCGACAGCAGAUACAUCGUUGCCUGGACCAACAGUUGACCAUGCCGUCCAUGAUAUCAGUAGCAGCCAUGAAAACAUCUACAGAAUUACAUCUGCCUAUUAAUGGAUACAUUCUGCACCACUUCCAUGUGCUGUCAGUUUGAAACGUCUCUACUCUGACAGAAGGAAGGGAAUGAAUCCCCAGGAUUGUUCCUCAGGAAAAUCUCUUCAACAGGCUGUUGUCAGUUUGCAUGCUCUUUGGAUGGAAUUACCCUAGCUUGGCUUGCAGAGAAUCUGUGAUAUAAAAGACCUCUUUUGUGCUGCAUUGUGUCAUUGAUUUAUUGACCUUAAAGAUAUUUUAUAUGUAUUAUGCCACUAUUGUAAAAACAAAUGGGCAUAUGUUUUAGCAUAUGUUUGCAAACAGACACAUUACAAGGCUUCCAUUAAGAAUUUGAAACUGGAAGUAUAAACUUCCUGACCAUCAAUAUUGGAAGUUUUUCACUGAAAUUUGGAAAUUUAAGUUUCCCAGAAUACACCUUUUUUUCAAGUAUUUUUUUUUAAUAGUAAUACUGUUAAAAAUCAAAUAAUUUAAACCUAUAUCUUGCCAAAUUCAUAGUUCUAUUUAUGUUUUAAUAAUUCAUUUUACUUCAAGACUGUUUGAAAUUGUGAGCAUAAAAUAAUAAUAUUGACACCAGGUUUUGCUAUUUUGAACUUUCAAGCCUUUGACUUUGGAAGUUUUCUUCAAAAUUAUGGAAGUUCUUGUACUUCUGAAGAAUUAAGUUUGGAAGUUUUAACCCAUUUCUAGGGAGUAAUUUACUUUCAAACUUCCUUUAACGGAUGCCCUGCAUUAUAUUUUUGAAUAACUUGAAAAUACAUUUUAUAAGUUGACUUCAUACCAUGAAACAUUAAUGGUAGGUUAUAUUAGACCAGAACAUGACAAAUAUUGUUUUCGGAGUUUGUUGGUCGAAGGUGAAGGUCAUGGCAAACAGUGGUUAUUCUGCACAAUGACCCUUGAAUUCUUUGACCUAGGACCAUUAAUAUUUAGUGAUUGAUAUAUCUGUCCAACUCAUAUGUGAAAGGGACAUGAUGAAAUUGAGCAAGAGCUUAUUAGCAUUGCAAAUUAUUAUUUGUGCAUUUUUAGCCUGGCUAAAUGAUGAAUAGGUGGGCUAUACUAUCGUUAACAAUUCUGCAUUAAAGUUUUAAUUUUAUGUAAUAAAAUCAAGAGUUUUGAUCCAAUUCAAUGGUAAUCAAACUUGGUCAGACUAUUUGUCGGCAUGUUAUCUUGAAGAUAUAUGGAUAUCUGGUCAAAUUCUAGGUCACUCUGUCAAAUCUUAGGAAAAUCAUUCCACAUCAUAAAUUGAACAAUUUUUGUCAACUCUUUAUGAAACUUGGUCAGAAUAUUUGUCUGCAUAAUAUCUUAAAAGUUCUAUAAUAUGGGUGACCUCAGAUCAAAAACUAGGUCACUAGGUCAAAUCUUAGGAAAUAUGUUCCUGAUGUCAUAAAAAAAAUCUAUGCUUACCAAAGCUAUCCAUAUCAGUUAAUAACAAAAUUCAAUUGUUAUUUUAUAAACACACAUCCCAAUCAUGAAUUUCAGAUCUAACCAUAUUUUUCAAAAAAAUAAAUUUUAAUUAACUUUAAAAAUAUUUGUGUACAUGAAAUCUUCGAUGAUAAAGUGUGUCAUCUAGGGUCAAAAACUAGGUCUCUGGGACAGAUCUUAUUGGAAAAGCUGAUGUAUUUAUAAAAUGUUCGUUUUUCCUCACACAAAUGGAAUAGUUUCUGUUGAUCAGGUUAUUUGUAUGAAUGAUAUCUCCGAUAAAUAUAAGUAUGGGUCUUUUUGGUUAGAAAUACUAGGUCACUAGCUCAAAUUCUAGGUUUGCAAAAUUGCAUUGUCAAAUAAAAAAUCCAGCUUUAUGUGGCGUUGCCGCAUUUGUGUCUUGUUAUUUUUUUAUUUUGACAGGCACAUUUUUAUAAUCUUAACCAAAUCAAACCUUGUUUUGUCACAUUGUGAUUCUUGUUCACUUUUAUUAUUUGAUUGUUUUAUUGCUUUUUACAGGCACAUAUCACACUAUUAUUGUAUUCACGUCCAAUUCCAAGAGGCGUAGUAGAGUGCACUGUUUUACGACAGCUCUUGUUAACCUGUAAAGUGAAACCUGGUUAUAAAAAUUACAUGACUGUGUCAUUGUGUUGGCUGGCCAGGAGGAGGGCAGCAUCAAAUACAUCUACAAACUUAGUAUACAAAGUAUUAUAGAGACCUCUCAUGGAAUUGCUUUUGGGGCCCAUAGGAUCAAGGUCACUAAAACAAAAAAAAACUAUUGAAAAUUAUUCGCACACCAAAGGCUUAAUUAAUUAGGUUUGUCUGUCAAUCAUUGAAAACUGGUUUUUUUUGCAUUGCAGCAUUUCUUGCUUAAUUCUUAUUUUGUCUCUUUAUUGCAUAUUACCUUUAUCAUUAUUGUAUUCAUUUCUAAGACAAAGCAGCAUAUAGUUGAGGGCACUGCCCCAUGACAGCUCUUGUAUAUCCUAAAAAGAAUACAAUAGUGAUAUACCCUGAUAUAGGUAGUUUUGGUACAUAAUCACGGUUUAAAGUUUAGCUUUACUGGCCAAAGAUCAGAAGAUCUGAUGUGAUGGUAAUGUGCACGUAGUAUGUGAUUCCGAGCGCCUGUAAACAAUUGUUUGUGAACACCAUACAGUCUUUAGUUAUGAUUGUAUCUCAAUAAAAUAGUAUUUAGAUAUCCAAUAGAGCUCGGUUCCUUUCGAAAACCAGUCAGAUCUGCCCAUGCAUGCCUGGAUUAUGGGCCUUGAACGUCUGUGCGUCUGUAAACAAUUGCUUGUGAACAUGAUACAGUCUUCAGUUUUAAUUGUAUAUAGAUGAAACUUGUACAGUAUUAAGAUAUCAAUUAGAGCUUGGUUCCUUUCGAAAACCAGAUCCGCCUGUGCAUGCCUAGAUUAUGGGCCUCAAAAGUUAAAAAAAUGCUAUUUUUAGCCAAGUCUACAUGAGCGAAGUCUAUUGUUAGACAAGUUUACAUGUAAAGUCACAAAUUCAUGCGAAAAAUUGUUCAAAUUAGGCCCCUGGGGUCAUUAUUGGCCACGCCACUGGGUUCACAGGUUUGGUAUACUUAAAUUGGGAAAUGUUUGAAUAUCUUUGUCUGAAACAACUGUGCAGACCCUUGUUAUUUUGAUUAAGGAUUAUUUUAGUGGUCUGCUACCAUGGUUGUUCAAAUUAUGCCCCUAGGGUCAAAACUGGCACUGCCCCCCGGGUCCAAGUUUUUUAAGAAAUAUUUUCAAAAUCUUCUUGUUUCAAACCACAAGGCUCAUAUCUUUGAUAUUUGUUGUGUCCAGAGCAUAUAAUAUUAUGUAGACCGUCUAGCAAAACAGUUGAAAUUAUGUGCCCAGGGCCAGGGCCAAAGCUGGCCCCAUCCCUUUUGUCCUUUUAAAGCUACAAAAAUGAAAUUUUGACCAAUAGUACAGUUUAGUAGCAAAUUUUAUUCUUCUCAGAUGACCUUUACUUGACACAUAUUAGAAUACUAGUAGUUCAUGCAACUAAUAUGCUUACAACACUUCCUGUUCUCAGAUGUUGAAUGACUGUGCAAUGUUUUAAGCUAACCCAAAGACAAAACGUGAACAAUAUGUUUGUUGGCUAUGAACAAUAUGUUUGUUGGCUAUUACUCAUACAUACAUGCUCUGGAUUAAAAAUAACCACAUGAGCCAUGCCAGAAGAGCAUAGGCACUCAUGGGCCUCUUGUUUUUUUUUAGAAAAAAAAGCAUACUGACCAACCCUAUUUAUUUUAGAGAAGUUAGCUGAAAC